rnacentral:rRNA from 1 species
UACGUAGGGGGCAAGCGUUGUCCGGAUUUAUUGGGCGUAAAGAGCGUGUAGGCGGCUUUACAGGUCCGCUGUGAAAACUCGGGGCUUAACCCCGAGCCUGCAGUGGAUACGGGCAGACUAGAGGUAGGUAGGGGAGAAUGGAAUUCCCGGUGUAGCGGUGAAAUGCGCAGAUAUCAGGAAGAACACCCGUGGCGAAGGCGGCUCUCGUGGAACGCACUGACGCUGAGACGCGGAGGCGUGGGGAGCAAACAGG